AUCCAGCUGAAGAGUCCCAAAUAGGACGAAACGUGCGUCCUGGAU
rfam:Schistosoma margrebowiei strain Zambia genome assembly, scaffold: SMRZ_scaffold0001304